rnacentral:piRNA from 1 species
UGCCAGAAAGCGCUUUCAUGAGCGGAGCCAC